rnacentral:tRNA from 1 species
GCCUAGGUGGCUCAGUCAGAGGAGUAUGAGACUCUUGAUCUCAGGGUCAUGAGUUUGAGCCCCACCUUGGGUG